ACAUACUCCGUCUUCUCCGCCCCGCUGCUCCUCGCAUGUGCCGCCGUGCGUCGCGCCGGCGCUGCCCGUCAACUCGCCGACGUUGGCAGCCCAGUCGCUGGUCACGGUGGCGACUCGUCCUCCCCGAUUCGAUGCCCGUGUUGCUCUGUUUGUUUCAUCUCGUCCCACCAAUCGGGAAAUCCGAUUAGUAGGAAGCAGCCAUCCUUAGUGUGUUUCUUACCACCGCAAUGGGUACAGGUGAGGCGGCUUCGGUCAUCGUCCGGUCGUUUCUGCCACGGACGUUGCGCCGUCUUUUGUCCAGUAUUUGGGCGGCUUCGAAACGAGUCCAGAAGCGAGACCGGCAGGAUUCUGAGAUGUGUCGAUUCCUUUGAUUUGGUUGUUGACCGAUUCCCGUCGGACGCGUGCGUAUGCUUCGCGUGCUGAUGGCAAUGGAUCAUGCCUGAUGAUUUCUUUUUUUACAGAUUCAUACUUGUCAUCCAGUGCGGUAACAAAUUGGUAUAGCCGCAAUCGUUCCUUUGUCAUUGGUAUUGGCUCCUUGCGAUCAAUUGCAAUCCACAGUUUCUGGAAUUUAUUCCAAAGGCUCUCGAGGGACAUUUCAUCCUGUUUAAUUGUGUUUGUCUAUCGAUGAAGGUCAUACACCUGAACGGGGUCUGCGCCGCUGCCGUAGGUGAUGGCCAGCCCGUCCCAGAGUUCAUUGGAUGUUGUGUAUUGUGAAACCUCGUUCACAAGAUUCACCGCCAUGUUGUUGAUAAUCCAAGUGAAGAUGUAGUGGUCUCGUUGCUGCCAUUGUUGGUAGGUUGGAUCGGUUCGGGACGGAGGGACAGAAACUCCAUCGAUGUGAGAUGUCAGUCCUCUGCCCCCGAUUGCCCGGUCCAUUAGAUCGGCCCAAAGUGGGUAGUUAUCCCCAUCCAGUUUUGCUCUGACCGUUAUAUAACCCAACGAUUCGGGGUGAUGAGUCUUUUCUGGAGUUUUGUUGGGGAUCGAACUCAUGCUCAACCGCAGAAACUCCGCAAAUUGUGCGACGAGUUCCGCAGGGAAGGGUGAAGGGAUCGAAAAAAAAAAGGUUGGGAAAGGUAUAUUACGGGCGGUGAUGAGUUUUUUCUGAGCCCGAACCUGCUCGCGAUACCAUAUUGAGAGAAUAUGUAGGAGACAAUGUAUUGUGUUGUGUUUUCAUUAGAAUGAUUUCUCCUCCAUAAUUUAGGAGUUGUUACACAGUAAUCACGGUAUUGAAUCAUUCUAAUUCUAGGUAAA